AACGCUGGCGGCAGGCUUAACACAUGCAAGUCGAGCGGGCGUAGCAAUACGUCAGCGGCAGACGGGUGAGUAACGCGUGGGAACAUACCUUUUGGUUCGGAACAACACAGGGAAACUUGUGCUAAUACCGGAUAAGCCCUUACGGGGAAAGAUUUAUCGCCGAAAGAUUGGCCCGCGUCUGAUUAGCUAGUUGGUGAGGUAAUGGCUCACCAAGGCGACGAUCAGUAGCUGGUCUGAGAGGAUGAUCAGCCACAUUGGGACUGAGACACGGCCCAAACUCCUACGGGAGGCAGCAGUGGGGAAUAUUGGACAAUGGGCGCAAGCCUGAUCCAGCCAUGCCGCGUGAGUGAUGAAGGCCCUAGGGUUGUAAAGCUCUUUUGUGCGGGAAGAUAAUGACGGUACCGCAAGAAUAAGCCNCGGCUAACUUCGUGCCAGCANCCGCGGUAAUACGAAGNGGGCUAGCGUUGCUCGGAAUCACUGGGCGUAAAGGGUGCGUAGGCGGGUCUUUAAGUCNGGGGUGAAAUCCUGGAGCUCAACUCCNGAACUGCCUUUGAUACUGAAGAUCUUGAGUUCGGGAGAGGUGAGUGGAACUGCGAGUGUA
rnacentral:rRNA from 1 species